CAGGCUUAACACAUGCAAGUCGAGGGGCAGCAUGGUCUUAGCUUGCUAAGGCCGAUGGCGACCGGCGCACGGGUGAGUAACACGUAUCCAACCUGCCGUCUACUCUUGGACAGCCUUCUGAAAGGAAGAUUAAUACAAGAUGGCAUCAUGAGUCCGCAUGUUCACAUGAUUAAAGGUAUUCCGGUAGACGAUGGGGAUGCGUUCCAUUAGAUAGUAGGCGGGGUAACGGCCCACCUAGUCUUCGAUGGAUAGGGGUUCUGAGAGGAAGGUCCCCCACAUUGGAACUGAGACACGGUCCAAACUCCUACGGGAGGCAGCAGUGAGGAAUAUUGGUCAAUGGGCGAGAGCCUGAACCAGCCAAGUAGCGUGAAGGAUGACUGCCCUAUGGGUUGUAAACUUCUUUUAUAAAGGAAUAAAGUCGGGUAUGCAUACCCGUUUGCAUGUACUUUAUGAAUAAGGAUCGGCUAACUCCGUGCCAGCAGCCGCGGUAAUACGGAGGAUCCGAGCGUUAUCCGGAUUUAUUGGGUUUAAAGGGAGCGUAGAUGGAUGUUUAAGUCAGUUGUGAAAGUUUGCGGCUCAACCGUAAAAUUGCAGUUGAUACUGGAUAUCUUGAGUGCAGUUGAGGCAGGCGGAAUUCGUGGUGUAGCGGUGAAAUGCUUAGAUAUCACGAAGAACUCCGAUUGCGAAGGCAGCCUGCUAAGCUGCAACUGACAUUGAGGCUCGAAAGUGUGGGUAUCAAACAGGAUUAGAUACCCUGGUAGUCCACACGGUAAACGAUGAAUACUCGCUGUUUGCGAUAUACGGCAAGCGGCCAAGCGAAAGCGUUAAGUAUUCCACCUGGGGAGUACGCCGGCAACGGUGAAACUCAAAGGAAUUGACGGGGGCCCGCACAAGCGGAGGAACAUGUGGUUUAAUUCGAUGAUACGCGAGGAACCUUACCCGGGCUUAAAUUGCAGAUGAAUUACAGUGAAAGCCGUAAGCCGCAAGGCAUCUGUGAAGGUGCUGCAUGGUUGUCGUCAGCUCGUGCCGUGAGGUGUCGGCUUAAGUGCCAUAACGAGCGCAACCCUUGUUGUCAGUUACUAACAGGUUCCGCUGAGGACUCUGACAAGACUGCCAUCGUAAGAUGUGAGGAAGGUGGGGAUGACGUCAAAUCAGCACGGCCCUUACGUCCGGGGCUACACACGUGUUACAAUGGGGGGUACAGAGGGCCGCUACCACGCGAGUGGAUGCCAAUCCCCAAAACCUCUCUCAGUUCGGACUGGAGUCUGCAACCCGACUCCACGAAGCUGGAUUCGCUAGUAAUCGCGCAUCAGCCACGGCGCGGUGAAUACGUUCCCGGGCCUUGUACACACCGCCCGUCAAGCCAUGGGAGCCGGGGGUACCUGAAGUGCGUAACCGCGAGGAGCGCCCUAGGGUAAAACUGGUGACUGGGGCUA
rnacentral:rRNA from 1 species